UACGUAGGGUGCGAGCGUUGUCCGGAAUUACUGGGCGUAAAGAGCUCGUAGGUGGUUUGUCGCGUUGUUCGUGAAAACUCACAGCUCAACUGUGGGCGUGCGGGCGAUACGGGCAGACUGGAGUACUGCAGGGGAGACUGGAAUUCCUGGUGUAGCGGUGGAAUGCGCAGAUAUCAGGAGGAACACCGGUGGCGAAGGCGGUUCUCUGGGCAUUACCUGACGCUGAGGAGCGAAAGCAUGGGGAGCGAACAGG
rnacentral:rRNA from 1 species